rnacentral:rRNA from 1 species
AUACGGAGGGUGCAAGCGUUAUCCGGAAUCAUUGGGUUUAAAGGGUCCGUAGGCGGGCGAUUAAGUCAGAGGUGAAAUCCCACAGCUCAACUGUGGAACUGCCUUUGAUACUGGUUGUCUUGAGUUACAGUGAAGUAGAUAGAAUGUGUAGUGUAGCGGUGAAAUGCAUAGAUAUUACACAGAAUACCGAUUGCGAAGGCAGUCUACUAACUGUAUACUGACGCUAAUGGACGAAAGCGUGGGGAGCGAACAGGAUUAGAUACCCUAGUAGUCC